CGCGAGCGGGUGGGUGCGCCUCGGGCUGCGGGAGUCUCUGCUGCCGCUGCCGCCACCGCUGCCGCCUCUACGGCCGCGUCAGAACUGAAGAGAGGAAGGGGAGGAGCCCAGCUGAGCCUAAACUGCCGCCUGAUCUUACCCCUGACCCGAGGGCCGCAGAGAGAGUUUGCUCUGUAGCGGUUUCCUCCGAGGCAGGUAGCGACUGCUCCUUUGGGAACAAGAAGGAGCCAGGCGGUGGGGCCGGGCUGGGGCGCGCACCACCCCAAGGUGAGGCAUGUGGCCCCGGACAGGCCCUGGAAAAGCCAACUCAUGGAGAAGUUGUGCUACUGCCUGAUCGUUGCACCUGCUCUGGGGAGCGAGCGCCCCGCCCUUCCCGUGGCGUGGGGUGAGACCUAGCGCGGGGUGACUUGCGGUCGGGCCGAGCAAAGGUUUGCUUAAUGAACGAAUGCCUCUUUCGCUUGGCCCUCGCGGAACUCUUCGGAGGAUGAAAGCGCAAGCGCUUUGUAAACUGCAGCGCGUUGGAAAGAUGAGAAUUGCAAUGCACCCGUCCCCUCCCCCGAGCCGUGAAAGGAAACAGGUGUGAGAAUGAGAUUAAAGCAACAGCAAUGAUGAAACGAAGCAGAAGCCACAAUUACGACGCAGAACCCUGGCACACCCUACCUCCUCUGGAAACUUCAGCAGUGGGUAUUACAAGCCCUUCCACCUUUUGGGGAGUGCAGGUAAAGCAACUGUAUUACUGACAAAUUUGGGAACCCAGGGUUUCUGCCACUACUUCAUCAUAUGCAAAACAGUAGACCAAGGAAACAAUUGGGUAAAUACAAGGGUAAACAGUUGGGUAAAUACUCAUUAUUAUUAAAAUGCUGCAGAAAAAGUGGGUAGGAGAAAGGAAGAUAGAGGACCUGCAAAAGAAGGAGAGAUAAAAGUUGCACCUGGCCCUCCUGCCCUCCCCUAAAGUUCCAAGGGUCAGGUUAAACGUUGAAUUUAGGGUCUUAACAUGACCUGCUCUCUCUUGCCAACUAAGUUUCACUCGGAAUCAAAUCGACAACCCAUGGCCUCACAUACCUACAAAAUCUUUUCUGCUUUUGCACCUCUUCCAGUCCUCCAGCAGGAGAGUGGUGGAAAUUAAGAGUUAAACACAAAUUGAGAUUCUGUGAAGCUGAGCACUUCAUAGGUUAAGUUUUGUGGGCUUGAAUGAAAACCAUCCGACCUCUGGAGCGCUCUGCAGCACACGAGGUCACCUCCAGGAGAGUGUGUCGCCACAUAGGGGCUUUCAAAGGCUUCAUCUGCUUCCUUGUCAGUGGUGCCACUGUAGAACCUUAGUACAGAGGGACAGAGUGGCACUUGACAGCUCUGAGCUGCACUAGUUUACCAGCAGAAGCCACCCACUCAGCACCCAGUUGGUUAUAAACAGCUGGAACUGGCCUCUGGAAAGGAGGAAAUUCAUACUUUUCCAACUCGCUCUGCAUCUUUUUAGUUCCUUAUGUUGCCUAUGAAUCUGGAGGAGAAAACAGUCCAUUCAAAAACUCCACAAACUGAAGUUUCAGGUAACACUUCUCUCCUUGGUCCAUCAAUUUAUGAUAAAGAUCUGUGUACUAUGUUAAUGAAAUAUAACAAAGGGACAUUUGUACAAGGUUCACACCUAUGCUUCAGAGUGAGCUCUGGUGAAUAAUCAGUGUUUCAUUAUCUCACAUGGGUGGUUUCUGCUGUCAGUGAUUGCAAUAUACUGUUAUCUGCCAAAUUUUCCCUCUACUAUAUCAAUUAAUUUUAGCAUUUUUGUGAAAUACACUUUAAAUGUGUAAAAUAAUUAUAUAAUAUAAUGGGUAAUUAUAUAAGUGAGCAGUCACCCAGGCAGGAAGUAUUGCCAGCACCCCAGGGCCCCUUGGUGACCUCCCUGAAGAAAAACUCUACACAGAGGUAGUCAUGCUAACCUUUGUGGUAAUUGUUUCUUUGACUUUCUUGUUUUUUCACAGGCAUGUAUCCUAAGCAAUAUGUUGUUUAAUUUUGUCCUUUUCUUUGAGCUUUAUGUAAAUGAAACAGUUGGUGUUUAAUAUGUUGUGCUCCCUGGAUUUCCUCAACACUUUUAAUCCAUACAGUGUUCACAUUAUUCCUAUAACUGUAAUUUGAUCGUUUUAAUUGCUAUAUAUUAUAAUGUUCCAAUGUAGUAAUAUGUGACAGUUUGUUUAGCCAUUCUGUAGUUGAUAGACAUCUGGGUUAUUCAGUUUGGGGCUAUUAUACAUGCUUCAUUCCUCCUAGAUGCAUUCCAUCACAUCCACAUCAGUUUCUGUAUACUCUGUACUUGAGAGUGUAUAGUAUAAACUUGAAUAAAUAAUAUCACACUGUUUUCCGAAGUGAUCCACUCACACUAGCAGUGUAUGAGUCCCAUUGGUGCACACCUCGCAACAUGGUAUUGUCAACCCUUUUCAGUUUUGCUAGCCUGGUGGGUGUGGGAUAGUGUUGCCUUGUGGUUUGAGCCCGCGUUUCCCCAAUCACUGACACUGUUGAGGACCUUUUCAUACAUCAGCUGACAUUUGGAUUUCUCUCUUGUUAAGUGUGGCAUUAAUAUUUAAUGCCUAAUCUCUGAAGUGCCCAGUUUUCCAGUUUGUUUUUCUUGUCCACAUUUGAGCAGUAAAAUUUAGGUAAACUAAUGCAACCAAAUUAGUUAUAUUUGAGGCAGAUCCUUCCCAAACUAAAAAAAAAAAUUAUGGUUUACCUAAUUAGCUUUUAUGAAUGUGAUACUUUUGCUUCUUAAAAGUAGGUCAGUGAAACUUUUUAAAAUUCUUUACCUUCCAAAAUUACCAUCUUUCACCUAUUAAACUAUUACUGAGCCACACAUUGGUCGUUUUUGUUUUUUGUUGUAGUAUGGUUUCCCUAAAGUACAUAAAGGCAAUUUUUAUUCACUUGGAACUAUCUAUAUAACUGUCCG
rnacentral:lncRNA from 1 species